rnacentral:tRNA from 1 species
AAGAUCCUAGCUUAAUUAAAGCACUUGAGUUGCAUUCAGGGGAUGCAGGGUAAUGUCCUGCGGAUUUUA